CUCAAACUGUAAUCGAAACAAACGAGUGCUAGAGAACUUAAAGUUUGGCUUUCCAUACGAUUUCAGGGAAAAGACUAGUUUUCAAGGAGGAUAGAUGGUAUAAAGAGAGAAGGUAGUGUUUUACGUCUUGGACAAUAUAAUCUGACUACAUGAGGUAUGCAAAGAACGACCUAGAGCGAGAAUACCAACAUAACAUUGCUGAAGUGAAAAGUAAUCGACU